UACGGGGGGGGCAAGCGUUGUUCGGAAUUACUGGGCGUAAAGGGCUCGUAGGCGGCCAACUAAGUCGGACGUGAAAUCCCCAGGCUCAACCUGGGAACUGCGUCCGAUACUGGAUGGCUUGAGUCCGGGAGAGGGAUGCAGAAUUCCAGGUGUAGCGGUGAAAUGCGUAGAUAUCUGGAGGAAUACCGGUGGCGAAGACGGCAUCCUGGACCGGCAUUGACGCUGAGGAGCGAAAGCCAGGGGAGCAAACGGG
rnacentral:rRNA from 1 species